UUAUUUAAUUAUUUAAGAAGUGUGUGAAACAUCAGAGUGUGAAUGUCUAACCCUAUUACUUGUUUUUUUCUUCUUCGAGACAAUGCUUCCAUUUAUACAUAUUAUACAUACAAUAUUGUUAUCCAUUAUUAAUAACUCAGUUAAAAGUUAAAUAAUUUAUCUACCUAACUAACUAACUAUUCAAUCAAUGGCAAUUGAUCAAUGCACCAUAAAGGAAAAUCAAUCAGAAGUUUAUUGUACAUAGUAUGCGUUAUUUGUACUCGUAUAUGUAGAAAGAUUGUAGAAAAAUGUGACAAUUAUAUUGUGUUUAUCCAUGAUUAUGAAACUUUACGUUAUUAUAUUCAUUUGUACGCAGUAUGAAAACUUUGUUUUUUGCUCAUCACAUCCUCAGAGUAUGGAUUCCAAGCUUACAAAUCAAUCUUUAAAUUAUUCUACUCUACAAACUCUCAUACUGUCAUCGAAUCGGAAAGUACAAAUACUGGAAGAAAGAACUUUAAAACUAGAGUGUAUUAUUCUUAAUCAUCCAAAAGAUCAAUCUCCUGGGGGCAUUUUAUGGCAAUUGAAUGGUUCUCCUUUAGAUUUUCGAUGGCACAGGGGUGGAUUGCAUUUAAAGAUAAGAACAAUAUUUCUCUUGGAAUCCACCAAUGGAGAUGUGUCUCUCUUUCUGAUUCGACUUUAUAUUUUAUAGAUCAUCCGCAAUACGAGAUCGACUGAAGCGUCCCUCACUCUCAUAAGAACAAGAACCACGGAUUCUGGAACCUACUCGUGCCAUUCGAUUCAAGCCCAGAAUUCCACUUUAAAAGUGACAUUUGAUGAAUUGAAAGUUGAGAUCUUACCUUUAUCCAAGGAUUAUUCUUAUUCUUCAUCAUCGUCCUCAUAUUGCUUCAAGUGUAUAUAUCAUUCCAUUCUUUUAUGCAAUAUUUUUUAUACUAUAUUAUUGCUUUUUUGUAUUCAAUUUAAAAGUAAUCCGUAAAUGUUUUUUUUUUUUUUUUGUAUUAUAAAUAUUUUAGAGGCUUUAGCUAAUGUAUAUUAUAUGUUAUAUGUCUAUAAAAAUAUAAAACCCACAUAAAUACACAACUCUAUGUA
rnacentral:misc_RNA from 1 species